UCCAGUAAUUGUUGAGUGUGAUAGUCCUGAAGAUGACCUGCAGCUUCUCUGAGCUGUGAAGUACACUCUGAUUGGAUCCAUGAUUGAAUCUUUGAUUACUAUCAGCUGUGAUAAGCCGAAGCUGCUAUGAUUGACACUAAAAAAGUCCUUACACUUCCUGCAGGGUCACAAUAUCACAGACAGUCACAGGAAUGCCAAGAGUGAAGCUACUUCAACAGCAGAAACAUUUAACUAAUGCUGAUUGGAGCCACACAGAAACCAGACAGAGAGCCUGCUGCAGGAAGCUGAGCUGCUGAGAGUGUGUGCUGUCCUCCUCGCUGCCCAUCGGCUGGUUCUUGCCUUGCUCCUGUUUCAGCAGCUCCACCUCGUUCCUGUAGGCGUCCAGCUGGCAGCGCAGGGAGUCGUUCUCCUCCUUCAAGGCUUCAGCCUGGGAAACACCUACAGAUUACAUACAUAAGCUUAUAAAUCAGCGGACCACCUGUGGGUCUGUCAUGGUGUGAAUCAAAAUCAGCGAAGAUGCACAGUUUGAAUAAAUGCAUAUUUCAUGAACUGUAGGUUGUUUUAUUUUAAGGGUAAUUUCCACCUGAACGAGAGUGACAAGACGAUAAUUUAAGAAAGUUUGUGUGAACACGACUCAUUCUUUCCAGCACUGCUGAACUGUAAAAUACACAAUUCCACAGCUCGUUCCAUCAGAUGGCGGAGAGAGACACGAUUUACAUUUCCUGUUUUUAUUAAAUUAUUUUCAAUUUGAGCCUGCUGUUGUAAUGGCUGUCAGUCAAAUAACAAAAAAAUACAAAGAUAAAAAGUCUAAUAUUUCAUCCAGAACGGUGCUGAAUGAUGAUAUAGAUUAGAUGGUAACAAUAUCCACUCAGUUUCAUGAGUGAUUAGCAUGUGAAUCACAUUAAAAUAUCACAGUGAUACUCUGAUAUUCAUGAUGUCAUAUGGAUGGUUUUGUGUGUCGAGAAAUACUUUGAAAUGAAUGUAUUUGUAUUCUUUUCUAGAUAUGUGUGGAAACAUGAUUAAAUUAUGAUAA